rnacentral:lncRNA from 1 species
GAGCAUCGCGAUUUUAGUGGCAGCCCUCUUCGUAAUAAAUUUGAAGGGUUUCACCUUCAAGAUAAUCGAGGAUCAAGUCCGUUUAAGUACAAGAAUGAUGGUUAUGCCCACUCCAUGGAUUCUCCCAAGGCUGGCCAUGUCAAGGACUAUGGGGUCAACAACACAUGGGAUUCACCACCAAGAUCAAGGUUAACUCAUGAGGAUUGGGAUAGCAGGAGAGAUCAUGAUGAUUAUGGCAAGCCAAAAUUCAAUGGAGGUUACAAGACAACUAGUCCUCCACUUAGCCAGGCCACAAAUGAUAUAGGCACUGCCAUGAAGAUCCUUGGGGUAGGUAAUAAACCUUUGACUUCUCCUACUUAUGCACCAAAAUCACAUUUUCCAGCAUCUUACUCAACUCCACAUAUAAAAGAAAGUUACCCUGAACCAACAAAAGGAAUGAUGCCUCCUCUGCUUUACCCUGUGCCUCAGAGGAAAGAAAGCUAUCCUGAGGCACCACAUGGCACAAAGCCUCUAUUUUCUCCUAUUCAUACACAGCAACCAUAUUCACCAACUUCAAUCCCGAUACCUCAAAGGAAAGAAAACUACCCUGAAACAAAUCCUGGACCAAAGCCUUUAUUUUCCCCUGGUUAUACACAACAAUCACAUUCACCAACUUCAAACCCGACACCUCAGAGGCCUGAGGCAGCACAUGGCACAAAGCCGCUGUUUUCCUCUGUUCAUACACAACAACCAUACUCACCAACUUCAAACUCGAUACCUCAAAGGAAAGAAAACUACCCUGAAACAACUCAUGGACCAAGGCCUCUGUUUUCCCCUGGUUAUACACAACAAUCACAUUCACCAACACCUCAGAGGAAAGAAAGCCAUCCUGAGGCAGCACACGGCACAAAGCCUCUGUUUACCCCUAUUCAUACACAGAAACCAUAUUCACCAACUUCAAACCCGAUACCUCAAAGGAAAGAGAACUACCCUGAAACAACUCAUGGACCAAGGCCUCUGUUUACCCCUAUUCAUACACAGAAACCAUAUUCACCAACUUCAAACCCGAUACCUCAAAGGAAAGAAAGCUACUCUGAAACAGCACACGGCACAAAGCCUCUGUUUACCCCUGUUCAUACACAGCAACCAUAUUCACCAACUUCAAACCCGAUACCUCAAAGGAAAGAAAGCUACCCUGAAACAGCACACGGUGCAAAGCCUUUGUUUUCCUCUGGUUAUACACCACAAUCACAUCCACCAACUUCAAACCCAACACCUCAAAGGAAAGAAAGCUACCCAGAAACAACACACGAUACAAACCCUAUGUUUUCCCCUGUUUCUACACAACAAUCAACUGCAAAUCCGACCUCUCAAAACAACGAAAGUCAGCCAAAGAAGAAAAAAGGUUGGACAUCUCUGUUUUCCUCUAAUGCUAAGCAACAACCACACCCUCCAACAUCACACUCAACACCUGAUAUGAAACAAAGCUACCCUGAUCAUGAAACUCAAGGUUUCCACCCUUCAUUUUCCCCUUCUUCUCCACAAAAGGAACGCUACAGUCCACAAAUGAAAGACCAUUACCCCGACCAAAUCCAG